rnacentral:rRNA from 1 species
AGUGAACGCUGGCGGUAGGCCUAACACCUGCAAGUCGAACGGCAGCACAGGAGAGCUUGCUCUCUGGGUGGCGAGUGGCGGAUGGGUGAGGAAUACAUCGGAAUCUACUCUGUCGUGGGGGAUAACGUAGGGAAACUUACGCUAAUACCGCAUACGACCUACGGGUGAAAGCAGGGGAUCUUCGGACCUUGCGCGAUUGAAUGAGCCGAUGUCGGAUUAGCUAGUUGGCGGGGUAAAGGCCCACCAAGGCGACGAUCCGUAGCUGGUCUGAGAGGAUGAUCAGCCACACUGGAACUGAGGCACGGUCCAGACCCCUACGGGAGGCAGCAGCGGGGAAUAUUGGACAAUGGGCGCAAGCCUGAUCCAGCCAUACCGCGUGGGUGAAGAAGGCCUUCGGGUUGUAAAGCCCUUUUGUUGGGAAAGAAAUCCUGUCGAUUAAUACUCGGUGGGGAUGACGGUACCCAAAGAAUAAGCACCGGCUAACUUCGUGCCAGCCGCCGCGGUAACAA